rnacentral:rRNA from 1 species
UAGUCCACGCCCUAAACGGUGCGUACUAGGUGUGGGUGGCGAUAGUCAUCCGUGCCGUAGGGAAACCAUUAAGUACGCCGCCUGGGGAGUACGGCCGCAAGGUUGAAACUCAAAGAAAUUGACGGGGGCCCGCACAAGCGGUGGAGCAUGUGGUUUAAUUCGACGCUACGCGCAAAACCUUACCUGGGCUUGACAUGCUUGUGGUAGGAACCCGAAAGGGAGACGACCCAAUCUUCGGAUUGGGAGCUUGCACAGGUGCUGCAUGGCUGUCGUCAGCUCGUGCCGUGAGGUGUUGGGUUAAGUCCCGCAACGAGCGCAACCCUCAUCCUUUGUUGCCCUUCACGGGGCUCUCUAAGGAAACUGCCGGCGAAGAGCUGGAGGAAGGUGGGGAUGACGUCAAGUCCGCAUGGCCCUUAUGCCCAGGGCUACACACGUGCUACAAUGGCAGGUACAAAGGGACGCCAAGCCGCGAGGUGGAGCCAAUCUCAUAAAGCCUGUCCGAGUUGGGAUCGGAGUCUGC